UUUUUGCGUUAGGGAUAGUAGCGGAUACCGGCCACGAGCUUAAGGCCUGCAGGCGUAUGAGCGAAUAGCCCGGCCGGAG
rnacentral:misc_RNA from 1 species